ACCUGGCAGAACCAGGACGGUUGGAGCAGGUACAAGAUGGACGUAACCUAGGAGAAGAUACAGGUGGUAGACGAUGAUUUCUACGGACCCGAUUGGUGUGAGCGGUGGUGUUUUCGGACGGCGGCGACUGUGUGGUCGGAAGUUGAAGCCUUUGAUUGUGGGGGAUGUUCAUUUUUGUUUGGAGGAUGGAGAAAAUGGAAGGGAGGG
rnacentral:misc_RNA from 1 species